CCUACGGGUGGCAGCAGUGAGGAAUAUUGGUCAAUGGGCGCGAGCCUGAACCAGCCAAGUAGCGUGAAGGAUGACUGCCCUACGGGUUGUAAACUUCUUUUAUAAAGGAAUAAAGUGAGGCACGUGUGCCUUUUUGGAUGUACGUUAUGAAUAAGGAUCGGCUAACUCCGGGCCAGCAGCCGCGGUAAGACGGAGGAUCCGAGCGUUAUCCGGAUUUAUUGGGGUUAAAGGGAGCGGAGAUGGGUUGUUAAGUCAGUUGUGAAAGUUUGCGGCUCAACCGUAAAAUUGCAAUUGAUACUGGCAGUCUUGAGUCCAGUUGAGGUAGGCGGAAUUCGUUGUGUAGCGGUGAACUGCUUAGAUAUCUCG
rnacentral:rRNA from 1 species